rnacentral:misc_RNA from 1 species
AACGCACAUUGCGCCCCCUGGUAUUCCGGCGGGCAUGCCUGUUCGAGCGUCAUUUCAACCCUCAAGCUUUGCUUGGUAUUGGUGGCAGGCCUCUAAUGGCCUCCCCCGAAAAAUAGCGGCGGAUAGUUUGGAUUCCCAGCGCAGUGACUUUUUAAUUCUCGCUGAAAAGGAUCCCCAGGCUCUCCUGCCGGACAACAAACAAUUUUUCUUAUGGUUGACCUCGGAUCAGGUAGGGAUACCCGCUGAACUUAA